rnacentral:rRNA from 1 species
GUUACGGGACCACGCGACAUGACCCGAUCACGUAUGGCGUCGGCGUGUUGUAUAGAGAUAAAGCCCAGAAGCACCGCAGUGACUAGGCCACAGCGAAUGUUUAUAAAAAACAAGAGCCUCUGCUAAACCGUAAGAUGAUGUACAGGGGCGGACGCCUGCACGGUGCGGGAAGGGUAAGCGG